rnacentral:sRNA from 1 species
CCCUGCUUUGAGACGUGCGGGAAGGUUCGACCGAGAAAUAUGCCUAGGUAUCCCAGAUGAAGCAUCCAGGGAAAGAAUACUUCAAACAUUGUGCAGAAAACUGAGGCUUCCUCAAGCUUUUGAUUUCUGUCACUUAGCACACCUAACUCCAGGCUUUGUUGGUGCUGAUCUCAUGGCACUAUGCCGAGAGGCAGCAAUGUGUGCAGUCAAUAGAGUCUUAAUGAAGCUACAGGAACAGCAGAAGAAAAAUCCUGAAAUGGAAGAUUUGCCAUCUAAAGGAGUCCAGGAGGAAAGGCUGGGAACUGAGCCCACUUCUGAAACACAGGUGCUUUCUCUAAAGGCACCUUAAAUUGUCCUUUUAAUGUUCUUUGUGUUAUCUUACAUUGAAGCAACGGUCAAUACAAUUGAGGUUCAUUACUUUCUGUUUUAUUGGCAUUUAAUCUAUAGAAUACUUAUCAUUUAUACCCACGAUGUUUAUCAUUUCAAAAAUAUGAGUUGUUUUAUGUUUAGUUUAUUCUGAAUAAAUUCAUUUUACAAUAAUGAUUAUGAAAUUCUGGAAUGGGGUUGGCAGACUGGCCUACCCACCCACCAUGUGUUUUUGUAAAUUAAAGUUAUAUUGGAAC